GUCUAUGGUGGCUGCAUGCGGGAGGCCUCGUGCCUGCCGGGUUUUGAGAUCUCUCCCGGUUUACCACCCCGUAUGCAGCUGCCACCCAU
rnacentral:antisense_RNA from 1 species